UACGUAGGGUGCAAGCGUUGUCCGGAAUUAUUGGGCGUAAAGGGCUCGUAGGCGGUUUGUCACGUCAGGAGUGAAAACUCGGGGCUCAACCCCGAGCCUGCUUCUGAUACGGGCAGACUGGAGGUAUGCAGGGGAGAACGGAAUUCCUGGUGUAGCGGUGAAAUGACGCAGAUAUCAGGAGGAACACCGGUGGCGAAGGCGGGUCUCUGGGCCGUAACUGACGCUGGAGGAGCGAAAGCGUGGGGAGCGAACAGG
rnacentral:rRNA from 1 species